CUAAUACAAAUUCACGACUAUUUCUUUUUGAAUUUAUAUUGGGAAAAGUCUUUGACGAACUGAGCAAAGAUGUUGACGUCCGUUGAAAAGUUCAAAUGAUAUCACCGCUGUAGAAUGUUCCACGAGAAGGUUUUGUGAUAGAAACUAGAGAGUCAACAAAAAACGAUGUACGUUUUGUAUGAGCACAUGCUACACAAUUAAUCGCUGAAUCUGAAAACUUUUUUCUGCACUCGUCAAAAGCAGAUUUUAUAAUUUGGUGGAUUGAGCUGGAAGAAAGACUUGAAAAUGAAACUUCUAACGGUGAAACAAAAUUAAGCAUGACAGAGGAGAACCAACUACGCCAGGUUGAAGAUGGCUCGAUGAAAUUGAACGUAGUUGAAGCACCUGGCGAACGCUCGAGUAUUUUGGAUCAGGACUUCUGAACCAAUGAAAACACGAAUGAUUCCAAGCAUGUUGUCGACGGUAAAAGCUUCAGCGAGGAUGAGUCUCCAAUACAAAAUUAACCAUUAAUAACAACGAGUCUACUGAAGAUAUGUUCAAAAGAAAUAUCGAUGAAUCACAUAUACAGUGUGGAAGCUCGUUGGCUCACGUGGGCGAGGAAUCUGAUUUCGAAAGUGAAGAGGGAGCAAUCACAAGACAUUUGCAAGAAGAUUCCCAAGUGUACUCCGCACACUUUGUAUGUACAGGUGGAGUAUUGUGAGAAGAGUACUCUAAGGAAUGUUAUUGACGAGGGAUAGUACAAGGACCAACAGAGAAAGUGGCGGCUUUUUCGUGAGAUUGUAGAAGGAUUAGUUCACGUUCAUUCACCGGUGUUAUCUUUAAAAAUUCAACUAAUGUCAAGAAAAAAGAGUUUGUUGAAGAUAGCUUGAUGAAAUUGAACGUAGUUGAAGCUCCUAGCGUGCGCUCGAAAGUUUUGGAUGAGGACUUGUGGACCAAUGAAAACACGAAUGAGUCCAUCAUGUUGACGACGAUGAAAGCUCUAUCGAGGACGAGGCUCCAAUGCAAAAACAGAGUCUAAUAAUGAUGUAUUCAAAAUCACAUUUACAGUUUGAAAGCUUGUUGGCUCACAUUGUAUAUAUUAGUGGAUUAUCUGGUUCUAGGUAUAUGCACAACAUCACUGACGAUCAAAAAGAAGUGAUCGAGUAAAUCGUUGUAUACUUUGCAAUAUGUCCAGCAAUUGCUUGAGAGAUUGUUGACCAUUUUGACAUUUUCAAUCGAUCUAAAACACCGUUGUUUUUAUCAACGAAGUCAGUGUUUGGUUAUGAAAUAAGAAAUGGAAAGUGUAAAAUAAUUGUCUAAACAUUCUUUGGAAACAAUGUUUAGACAUGGAAGGACUUACGAGUGCAUUACCCAAUGUCAGCCCUAUAUUGAUGUUUUACACGUCAGUCAUCUUCGAGGGCGAAUAUUAUUGUUAAGAAAAUCCCAUGAGAAUGGGUACAAGUCAAGAAUUGACAAAGUUUGGGAUUAUGUCAGAACAAUGUCCAAGUUCAGAAUACCACAGAAGUUAAUCAACUGUAGAUGACAAGUAAAUGUUUACAUAAUUAUAUAGCACAUGGAAGUGUAGUUCAAAGUCGGUAUGUGAAUGGAAAGAGCAAUAACGAAUGAUGUGGUAAAGUGUGCGAGUGAUCAAGAAAGGAAAAGAUUCAUUGGCGUUUUCAAGAAUACGUGGAAGCUUAUAGCCAAUAAUUCGGGCUCAAACUAAUCAACAGCAAGACGAAAGAGUUCAUGAUAUUUAUUAGAAGUUAGUGUUGACGAAAGACCAUGCGAAAGGGAGAAAUCAAGUCAAGUUUGGAGCUAUCCUCAAGAAAACUGUACGCUAACAAUGAAAGCUAAGCCUAUCAAUGCUGAAAUGCAACUGGGUCUAACAGAAAAACUAUUUCUCAUUGAAUAAAUACUGCUCAAUAUUUAACGGAAAGAAACAGAUCAUAUAUCUUAUAGAACGUCGUCAUAGCGAAACAUUCCAAAGAAACCUAUGAAAUGAUUGUCCAUCUUUAUGUCUAGCUUUGUGUCUAGCUGUGUCUACCUUCUUGUCUACCUUAUUGAGUGAUUCUGGUUACUUGAAGCGAGAUGCUCCUGUCCAGAUGUUGGUGUAAAGACUGGAAGUUGUAAACAUGACAAACCAAAUGUCAAUGGAUAUACCGGACGAAAUCUAAGCAUUUGAUAAGCAUACAGUUUGUACUGAAGCUAUGGAAUUGAGUGAUAGCGUAACCCAACAAACAAGAGCGCCGUAAAGACUGUGCAGACUGGUUUCUUACAACAUGAUUUCCUUGACACAAUGUUUAAAGAAAAUAUGGCUGCGUUGUCAUAUAUGCUGUGAUAUGUUAUAAGUGUCAUAAACCAUUGAAAUGUAGGAUAUGACUCGUGAAAUCGACAUUCCUAAAGAAUACACCUCAAAAUCGGAACGAUACGAAAAUUCAUUUCCUAUGUAUAUUAUAUAAAGCUAAAAGAAGACAAGUUAUCGGCUGCUUUAAAGCCUUCACCAAUGUCAAGCCAGAAAUAUGUCAUCCUCGUAUUUUACUACGACAAGUGCCAUUGGAUUAAUAAAGCUAAACGAAGUCUGCAUUGCUUAGCCGUAAGAAAACGUGCUGCUUUUGAAAGACUUACUUGUCUCUAUCUUUUUCAAAAGAAGACAUAAGUAACUAUAGAUGUUUUGCUAGUGUAUUACCAAACUAACAUUAAUAUAAAUGUAUUCAUUUGUACUAUACUCUUUCACUCUUUAUAUCAACAUUCGACUACGAAUAUGA